CCCGCAAGUGUUACAACUUCCUUCCCUGCCCGCCGCCGGCCGGGGGCCGGGGCCGCGGGAGGGGCGGGGAGCGCGCCGAGCGCCAAUGAGUUCACUUUCUUUUUCUCCCCGCGCGCCCCCUCUCGUUCCCCGCCGGCCCCCUCCAGCCUCCUCCGCGGCUGACGCCGCCGGCCCGGACUUUUCGGGGCUCGGGCCGCGAGCGAGAGGGUGGAGGAGGCGUGGGAGGAGGAGGACAGGGAGGAGGAGGAGGGAAGAUUCCCCGUUUCCUGCCUUUUUCUGUCAAAUGGGAUUUGCUGGACUGAACCACGUUCGCCGCCCGGCUCCCCCUCCUCCCUCCUCCUGGCCGCGUCGGGUCCGGGAAAGCACCGAGGCUCCCAUGCUGUGACCAAUCAGCUUUCGGCUCUGAUGAGGGGUCUUCCCGCUGCUGAUUGCAAACACUAAUGAACUUACAGCGCCAUUUGAAAUUCACACGCACCAACAAAGUCUGGGGGGUGGGCAUUUCAGGUCAGCCGAGUCACCCGAGGAGGUGGGAGUGCUAGACACUGCCGGGAAGAUGGAUUCCGGGGCCGAAGGGUGUAAUUAAGGAUUGCCACCCCCGGCGGGCGGCCCGUCCUUCAGCGAGCCUCUGAAAAUGACCUGUGCCUUCCCUUCCCGAGUGUCUUCUCUUCCGAAACUGAAAAGCGCCAGUGACCUUCGGACGGGAGAGGGCUGCACUAAACACGCAGACUUCCUUCCGAGCCGCAGCCCUGCACUGUAGAACAAGUGUCCGCGCCCGGGUGCAAGUGCCCGGGCCUCCGAGGAACGUGACCUGGCCAGGGCGCACACUGGGGUCCUCUGAAGCUCCGGUCCCCAUCCGUAUUCAAACGCAUUUACACAUUCUCUCUCUCCCCGCUCUCCCCCUCCUCUUUCGCCUCCCCUGCCCUCCUCCUUCUUUUCUUCCUCCUGGCGGAUUAGCAGCCCAACACUGCCCCUGUCUCAAGUUUGUUAUGGGAAGGGAAAAAAGUUUACUGCUUUUCGCGACACACUGGCACUUGCUACUCACUCAAGUUCCCACCGAAACUCCAGCUCCCGGAGCCCAUUCCUCUUCCCAGGCCCCUGAGAUGCAGACACCACCCUCAACCCUCCCUCCUCGCAGGGCUUCCUAAAUCUGCUUCGAGUUGUCCUUCUUCCCAGUUUUGGAAUCUGACACCCAUAACCUUCCCGGCUGUCAGGCUCGUCCACUCCCUGCCAGCUUGUGGCGCCUUUACAGUGCAGCGGCAGGCGUGGAGCCCGCUCCUGCGGUGGAUGGAGCGCGAGGUUCCCCGCCGGGCGUCCCAGCAUUUCCCGGCCCUGCCCAAGGCCCUGCUGCCAGCCGGCCAGUGGCUCAGAGUCAGUGCCUCGGUCUGCCCCGACCGCUGCCAACCUGUCACGACAGCUUGGCAGAGGAAAUGAUACUGGAGGAGCCCGGUCACCGCACCCUCCCCUGGCAACUCCAGAGCUGGGGCUACGGACCUUACCUAACUUGGCGGGUAGGAAAGAGAUUUGUAUUUUCACUUGCAGCUGCGUAUAGGGCAAGAUCGAAUCUAGCGCUCGCAAAAGCAAAGGGCAACGCUUCCUAGGAAAGCCUGAGUCUUUAUGAUCGAGUUUCUCCAAAGUUUGGGGUGGAUCUCAUUUGUGAACUCAAAUUAGCCGUUCUGGACCCACAGUCUAAGCUCCCGAAGUUGCUAAGUGACCCAGCGCACCACAAUGUGUCAAGAAGUCUCACAACUAAGCGAACCCCACCUGGUUCCUGGGGCACUAGUGACGCACCACAGACGCACCUUUCCGGGAACAAUCAAGAGUUGCCCUGGGGUGCUUCGUACUCUUUCCCGCCGUAGUGAAUUUCAUACUUGUAAAAAAAAAAAGAGGGUGGGGUGGGGUGGGGUCAGAGGAAUGUAUUUCUCAUUCUAUCCGUUCUCAUCUUGAGAAGUUGGUCAACUGUGCAAAUAUGCGCCAGAUAUUAAAUGAUGAUCAUGCAAACUGCUCAAAA